UAUUUCUCAAAGGCGGUGUGUUUGUUGUACGAGUGCACAUGUCCGUUUACAGGCCCAUCUCCCCGUAUUCCAUCCAUUUUGAAGGGUGAAAAUCAAGCGAAUCAAUUCUCUCUCAUCUGCAUUUAGGCUCAUCGUUUUCUCCACCGCUGUGUCAUCGACCAAGCCAUUGUAAUCUCAAAUCUCAAUACCGGCAGAAAGCAUACCCUAGUUCCGAAAUCUAUACCUCUAACAUUCAAGUCUUACAAAGGUAUUCUCAUUCUCAUUCUCAUUUUCAUUAAAAACCUAACCUCUGCACGAGAAAUCAGGUGAUUCUCGAGAAACUAAAGAGAAACGGAUGUCAAAAUUCCUUUACGUAGAACUUGAAGAGCAUGCAAUUGUUUUGGAAUCAGGUCGCUCAUAAAGAGGUACUAAUAAUCAGUUGCAUCCCCCUCCCAGUUCCAUCUAGGUUUGAAGAGAUUCAAAAUAAAGCAGUGAAGAGCUUGAACCACUCAUGGAUAAAGCAGAGCUUGCUAUCCUGGACCAACUCUUGGGGGUAUGCGGAAGCCGUAGGGGAAACCACAUUUGUUCGUUGCUCUCGAGUUACGGAGAAUUCCUGAAUUUGAGUUGAGCUAUAGGCUUGGGUUUGCUUUUGGUGGUCUGUUAUGUUGAACUCCGUUUGACGCACAGCUAUGAGAAGCCUAAAAAUUCCCACUGUCCUCCCAGUUUCGUCUCAUUUUUAUUGAUCCAACCUUAGUAAGGAGUGCUGAGCAUGGAAACGAUGAAGAAGGAAAUAACUGAAAAAUGUGGCUACCGGGAUAAGGAGAACACAAAUAAGUACCCUUGCUGAUGUUGUGCUGGGAUUGGAUUCUAUUGAACGGUUGAACAAUAUUUGGGAUUUUCCCGUGAAAGAUCAAGAAUAUAAAGCUUAGGACGAGACUCUUGCUUCUAUCACGGAUGGGACUUAUGUACACCCUUCAAGCAAAAGCACAAUUCUAACUCCUGUGAAUAAUCUCAAACAUACAUUAUAGCUUUCAAAUCGCCUUUAGUUCACUUAAUUAUAUAUUUGUUCUCUUACGCUCUUAUGCAUUUCUUGCAGAGGCCUUGAGAAUAACUGAUUUGCAAAUUUUUGUUGACAGAACUAUUGUUGUUCAGUUCGUUGACAUGCUGAUCCUUUCAGGGAUAUUUGGUAUAGAAUGGUGAAAGUAUUGGAGCAUGUUUGGUCGCAUCUCAUGUUGAAUUAUUGAGCAUUCCAUCUUACACAGUUCGACAUUAAUAGUAAAACGGAAGGAAGUUUUUUGGUCAAUGUGCAGAUGCUAGGAAAAUAUUUCUUGAGAUGAAUACAAGUUAUGUUGCGCCCUAAUCCUCCAAGUUUAAUAUAAAGUUGUCAAAUCGUGGCUAUCAACUAUUUAUUAGAGCAUCAUGGAUAUGCUUUUAGCUAUUGGAGGGCACCGCUAACAAUGUCCGAGUCUGAUGCCCAAACUGGCCACUGUAAAAGAUUACUAUAUUCUUGCCAAGCAAACAGAGUUCACCAUAACAACGUUUUUGCUAAGACGUUGUAUGCCUCCCUACCACUGCUUAUAAUUGAGGUGGAAGAUUUGUUUUCGUGGCCAACGAAAAAGAAACCGAAGAGUUAAUACGAACGUUCAUAGAGAGAGUAGAAACAUAUCGUUACACACAAAAACAGUCAUAAUAUUCAUUUCGUACAGGUGCUUUCUCCCAAGGAAAUGUAUUUGAGAUCCUGUAUGAGGUUUUACAUAAAGAAAUGUUCUUUUGAAAAUCGUCAUACACAAUUCGUGGCAGACUAAGAUUUUGAGAGGAGAAACUAAAGCUCAUGGAUUCAAGAUAAUUUGUACUAAGCCUCAAGCAAUGGAGAAAAUUUUAGACAAUGAAAUAUAGAGAUGCAGUGUUGCUUUUAGGAUAGUAGUAACUACUUUUGCAGUCGACUUGGUCAAUAUAACUGUUGAUAAAGUUGAUAUAAUCCAUGGAAUGGUGUACUGAUAAUUUUUAAGAAAGGAUUGGCACAC